rnacentral:rRNA from 1 species
CCUACGGGGGGCAGCAGUGAGGAAUAUUGGUCAAUGGACGAGAGUCUGAACCAGCCAAGUAGCGUGAAGGAUGACUGCCCUAUGGGUUGUAAACUUCUUUUAUAUGGGAAUAAAAUGUUCCACGUGUGGGAUUUUGUAUGUACCAUAUGAAUAAGGAUCGGCUAACUCCGUGCCAGCAGCCGCGGUAAUACGGAGGAUCCGAGCGUUAUCCGGAUUUAUUGGGUUUAAAGGGAGCGUAGGUGGAUUGGUAAGUCAGUUGUGAAAGUUUGCGGCUCAACCGUAAAAUUGCAGUUGAAACUGGCAGUCUUGAGUACAGUAGAGGUGGGCGGAAUUCGUGGUGUAGCGGUGAAAUGCUUAGAUAUCACGAAGAACUCCGAUUGCGAAGGCAGUUCACUGGACUGCAACUGACACUGAGGCUCGAAAGUGUGGGUAUCAAACAGGAUUAGAUACCCUUGUAGUC